rnacentral:rRNA from 1 species
AUUGAACGCUGGCGGCAGGCCUAACACAUGCAAGUCGAACGAGUGGCGGACGGGAGAGUAAUGGCUGGGAAACUGCCUGAUGGAGGGGGAUAACUACCGGAAACGGUAGCUAAUACCGCAUACCAUCAGAUGUGCCCAGAUGGGAUUAGCUUGUUGGUGGGGGAACGGCUCACCAAGGCGACGAACCGCACCUGGUCUGAGAGGAUGACCAGCCACACUGGAACUGAGACACGGGCCAGACUCCUACGGGAGGCAGCAGUGGGGAAGAUUGGACAAUGGGCGAAAGCCUGAUGCAGCCAUGCCGCGUGUGUGAAGAAGGCCUGCGGGUUGUAAAGCACUUGCAGCGGGGAGGCGUUACCAACAGAAGAAGCACCGGCUAACUCCGUGCCAGCAGCCGCGGUAAUUC